GAUGAACGCUGGCGGCGUGCCUAAUACAUGCAAGUCGAACGCAUUGUGGUUGAAAUGAUAUGAAGAACUUGUUCAGAUUUGAUUUUCAACAUUGCAAUGAGUGGCGAACGGGUGAGUAACACGUGGGAAACCUACCUCUUAGCAGGGGAUAACAUUUGGAAACAAAUGCUAAUACCGUAUAAUAAUUAAAACCGCAUGGUUUUAGUUUAAAAGAUGGUCUUGCUAUCACUAAGAGAUGGUCCCGCGGUGUAUUAGUUAGUUGGUGAGGUAAUGGCUCACCAAGACAAUGAUACAUAGCCGAGUUGAGAGACUGACCGGCCACAAUGGGACUGAGACACGGCCCAUACUCCUACGGGAGGCAGCAGUAGGGAAUCUUCCACAAUGGACGAAAGUACUGAUGGAGCAACGCCGCGUGUGUGAUGAAGGGUUUCGCUCGUAAAACACUGUUGUAAGAGAAGAAUGACAUUGAGAGUAACUGUUCAAUGUGUGACGGUAUCUU
rnacentral:rRNA from 1 species